AUGAGAGAUAGCGACGGCGAAGGGGCCGGCGGCGGAGUCCCGCGCUCGCACCCCUCCAACAUCCCUCUGCCGAUGUCGCACUCCGACCCCAACUACUCGGGCACGGACGACGAAUGCUCCAACAGGCAGAGCAGCUCGUCGGCGACGGGCGGCGGGUUCUACAAUGACUACCCGUCCAGCUUCAGCGGCGAGUGCUCGCCGUACAACAUGUCCCCCUGGAACCAGACCAUGGCGUCCCCCUGGUCCCACCACAGCGAGGCGUCCAUGGCCGCGCCCGCGAUGGCGCCCGGCACCAGCCUCAUCAGCUCGCUCGUCAGGGAGGAAGGCCACAUCUACUCUCUCGCCGCCAAGGGCGACGCGCUGUACACCGGCUCCGACAGCAAGAACAUCCGCGUCUGGCGCAAGCAGAAGGACUCCGGCGGCUUCAAGUCGUCCAGCGGCCUCGUGAAGGCCAUCGUCAUCUCCGGCGAGCGCAUCUUCACGGGCCACCAGGACGGCAAGAUCCGGGUGUGGAAGGUGUCGCCCAAGAACGGCCUGCACAAGCGCGUGGGCAGCCUGCCGCGGCUGCGCGACUUCCUGCGCGGCUCUCUCAACCCGUCCAACUACGUCGAGGUGCGCAAGAACCGCUCGGCGCUCUGGAUCCGGCACAGCGACGCCGUGUCGUGCCUGAGCCCCACGGACGCCGGGCAGGGGCUGCUCUACUCCGGCUCCUGGGACCGCACCUUCAAGGUGUGGCGCAUCAGCGACUCCAAGUGCCUCGAGUCCGUGGUGGCGCACGACGACAACGUCAACGCCAUCGUGGCGGCGUACGACGGGCUGGUGUUCACCGGCUCCGCGGACGGCACGGUCAAGGUGUGGAAGCGGGAGGUGCAGGGGAAGGGGACCAAGCACUCGCCCGUGCAGACGCUGCUGAAGCAGGAGCACGCCGUGAACGCGCUCGCCGUGAGCGCCGUGGCGCCGGUGCUCUACUGCGGCUCCUCCGACGGGCUCGUCAACUGCUGGGAGGGCGACAGCAAGCUCGUCCACGGGGGCGUGCUUCGCGGGCACAAGAAGGCCGUCUUCUGCCUCGCCGCGGCGGGAGCGCUCCUCUUCAGCGGCUCCGCCGACAACACCAUCAUGGUCUGGCGGCGCGACGCCGGCGUGCACUCCUGCCUCUCGGUGCUCUCCGGCCACACCGAGCCCAUCAGGUGCCUCGCCGUCGUGGAGUACAACAAGGAGAACGUCGCGGCCGCCGCCGCAGAGACCGGAGACAACAGCGGCGUGGGACGGUGGAUCGUCUACAGCGGCAGCCUCGACAAGUCGAUCAAGGUGUGGCGCGUGACCGACGAGCCGGCGGACACGCUGCUCGGGGGCUCCGUCGGCGAGGGGUCGCAGAUGUUCGACCGGUACCCGGGCGACCCGUUCGGGGCAAGCAGCUCGACAUCGUUCCGCUAA
rnacentral:rRNA from 1 species